UACGUAGGGAGCGAGCGUUGUCCGGAUUCAUUGGGCGUAAAGAGCUCGUAGGCGGCUUGGCAAGUCGGGUGUGAAAACUCCAGGCUCAACCUGGAGACGCCACCCGAUACUGCCAUGGCUAGAGUCCGGUAGGGGACCACGGAAUUCCUGGUGUGGCGGUGGAAAUGCGCAGAUAUCAGGAGGAACACCGGUGGCGAAAGGCGGGGUCUCUGGGCCUGUACUGACGCUGAGGAGCGAAAGCGUGGGGAGCGAACAGG
rnacentral:rRNA from 1 species